GGAAGGGUAGCCAAGCGGUUCAAGGCAACGGUCCCGAAAACCGUGACCCUUUUAGGGUCUCGUGGGUUCGAAUCCCACCCCUUCCG
rnacentral:tRNA from 1 species